UGAGCAAUCUGCCCUUCUCAUCGGAAUAAGCGUUGGAAACGACGUCUAAUGCCGAAUACGACCUCCUUUCGCAUGAUCGGAGGUGGAAAGCUCCGGCGGAGAAGGAUGAGCUCGCGGCCUAUCAGCUAGUGGUGUGGGUAAUGGCCCACCAAGGCGACGACGGGUAGCCGGCCUGAGAGGGUGACCGGCCACACUGGGACUGAGACACGGCCAGACUCCUACGGGAGCAG
rnacentral:rRNA from 1 species